rnacentral:rRNA from 1 species
GAUGAACGCUGGCGGCGUGCCUAAUACAUGCAAGUCGAGCGAACAGACGAGGAGCUUGCUCCUCUGACGUUAGCGGCGGACGGGUGAGUAACACGUGGAUAACCUACCUAUAAGACUGGGAUAACUUCGGGAAACCGGAGCUAAUACCGGAUAAUAUAUUGAACCGCAUGGUUCAAUAGUGAAAGACGGUUUUGCUGUCACUUCUAGAUGGAUCCGCGCCGCAUUAGCUAGUUGGUAAGGUAACGGCUUACCAAGGCAACGAUGCGUAGCCGACCUGAGAGGGUGAUCGGCCACACUGGAGCUGAGACACGGUCCAGACUCCUACGGGAGGCAGCAGUAGGGAAUCUUCCGCAAUGGGCGAAAGCCUGACGGAGCAACGCCGCGUGAGUGAUGAAGGUCUUCGGAUCGUAAAACUCUGUUAUUAGGGAAGAACAAAUGUGUAAGUAACUAUGCACGUCUUGACGGUACCUAAUCAGAAAGCCACGGCUAACUACGUG